UUUUCAAAAAGCGAUAGGUUCCACCGAGAUUUGAACUCGGGUCGCAGGAUUCAAAGUCCUGAGUGCUAACCGCUACACCAUGGAACCA
rnacentral:tRNA from 1 species